GCAGCGGUUCAGGCAAUCGCCGGCGAACUUCGGUUCGCGGGAGGAAAGUCCGAGCUCCACAGGGCAGAGUGCCGGGUAACGCCCGGUGAGGGUGACCUCGAGGAGAGUGCAACAGAGAAGAAACCGCCGGCACGCGAAAGCCUGUCGGUAAGGGUGAAACGGUGGGGUAAGAGCCCACCGCGCUUUCGGUAACGGAAGUGGCACGGCAAACCCCACACGGAGCAAGGCCAUAUAGGGAGGCGCAGGGAUUGAAAAAUCCUGAAAGGGUGGCCCGCCCGAUGCCUCCGGGUAGGCUGCUGGAGGCACACAGCAAUGUGUGUCCUAGAGGAAUGAUUGUCGGUGCGUCGGGGGUGACUUCGACGCAAUACAGAACUCGGCUUACGAGCCACUGCGACC
rnacentral:RNase_P_RNA from 1 species